rnacentral:tRNA from 1 species
UCCCCGAUUGUGUAAUGGUAGCACUUCAGAUUCUGGUUCUGAUUGUGGGGGUUCGAGUCCUCCUUGGGGAA